rnacentral:ncRNA from 1 species
UGACACGCAAUGAACAGGAGCAGUAGAGGAUAACGGUCCGAACCAGAGAGCUGCGGGAUGGUGCGACGCAGCGGCGGUUGCCUUGAACUCGCCUGGGAGCGGAACGGCGGAAUGCCGGCUUGAGAUGCGGAAGCAGGUGGACGGGUGUCCCUCAAGCGGGUGGUAUGCCGUUACGGUGCCCCCGUCAUCGGGCGCGCGCAUCGCCAUGAUCCGGAUCCGGCGGUGUACGCAUAAGCGGACGAUCGCUUCAUCUUGAGCGCGAAGAUGAAGAUCGUCAACUAGAGUGGUACCACGGCAUCUACCUGUCGUCUCUAAC